rnacentral:rRNA from 1 species
GAUGAACGCUGGCGGCGUGCUUAACACAUGCAAGUCGAACGAAGCACUUUAACCUGAUUCUUCGGAUGAAGGUUUUUGUGACUGAGUGGCGGACGGGUGAGUAACGCGUGGGUAACCUGCCUCAUACAGGGGGAUAACAGUUAGAAAUGACUGCUAAUACCGCAUAAGACCACAGAGCCGCAUGGCUCGGUGGGAAAAACUCCGGUGGUAUGAGAUGGACCCGCGUCUGAUUAGGUAGUUGGUGGGGUAACGGCCUACCAAGCCAACGAUCAGUAGCCGACCUGUGAGGGUGCCCGGCCACAUUGGGACUGGGACACGGCCCCAACUCCUACGGGAGGCAGCAGUGGGGAAUAUUGCACAAUGGGGGAAACCCUGAUGCAGCGCCGCCGCGUGAGCGAAGAAGUAUUUCGGUAUGUAAAGCUCUAUCAGCAGGGAAGAAAAUGACGGUACCUGACUAAGAAGCACCGGCUAAAUACGU